AUGGCUGGCGAGGACAUCGACCCCAAGUCCAGUACUGCUGCUGCUGCUGUCACGUAUGUGUUCUUCUUCUUUCUGUUAGAUGUCCUGCCACAGUUUCUCGUACUAGUACUUGCCCUAGAUGUGUUAGGUUCUACUCCAUACAUGCAACUAGCUCCACAGUCUGCUCUAGAUAUGUUAGGCUACAGUUCAUAUAUGCAGAUGUUAUUUACCUUCUGUCUGUCAGAAUGCAUGACUUGUUUUAUCUCUACUAUAUUAGUCACGCUUUACCUAGUAUUUCUGUUAAUAAAAUCAUUUGAUAAAUUGCUCAUAUUUCCAACAGUAUUGACUGCCUGA
rnacentral:rRNA from 1 species